rnacentral:misc_RNA from 1 species
AACGCAUAUUGCACCCGACAGGCUCGCUUGUCGGGUCUGCCUGUCUGAGUAUCAGUACGGACCCAAUCAACAAUGAAAGGUUAUAUUUAUAUAGCCGGACAAUGUUGUGUUGGUGCUCACCAGAGGUAUUUUAAUGCCUUUGGUGGAUUUGAGUGUUCAGCCAUCAUUCUUUGGUUGAUCACUUGAAAUGUAUUGGUGUCGUCUAGCUGACAGUCGCCGCGUAAGCAUUGUUAAUCAUCUUUAUUGAUGUUCCUUGCUAUAUUACAUGGACCAACGACAAUAAGCAUCUAUUAGUACGAUCCAAGCACAAACUCCAAAUACUUGUAUUUAACCAUCUUGAUCUCAGAUCAGGCAGGAUGACCCGCUGAACUUAA